rnacentral:rRNA from 1 species
UACGGGGGGUGCGAGCGUUGUCCGGAAUCACUGGGCGUAAAGGGCGCGUAGGUGGCGUCGUAAGUCUGUGGUGAAAGCCCGGAGCUCAACUCCGGGUCUGCCGCGGAUACUGCGAGGCUUGAGUGCUGUAGAGGGGGGUAGAAUGCCGGGUGUAGCGGUGGAAUGCGCAGAUAUCAGGAGGAACACCGGUGGCGAAGGCGGGUCUCUGGGCCGAUACUGACGCUGAGGAGCGAAAGCGUGGGGAGCGAACAGG